AACGAACGCUGGCGGCAGGCCUAACACAUGCAAGUCGAGCGAGGACUUCGGUCCUAGCGGCGGACGGGUGAGUAACGCGUGGGAACGUACCCUUUGCUACGGAAUAGCCCCGGGAAACUGGGAGUAAUACCGUAUGUGCCCUCUGGGGGAAAGAUUUAUCGGCAAAGGAUCGGCCCGCGUUGGAUUAGGUAGUUGGUGGGGUAAUGGCCUACCAAGCCGACGAUCCAUAGCUGGUUUGAGAGGAUGAUCAGCCACACUGGGACUGAGACACGGCCCAGACUCCUACGGGAGGCAGCAGUGGGGAAUCUUAGACAAUGGGGGCAACCCUGAUCUAGCCAUGCCGCGUGAGUGAUGAAGGCCCUAGGGUUGUAAAGCUCUUUCAGCUGGGAAGAUAAUGACGGUACCAGCAGAAGAAGCCCCGGCUAACUCCGUG
rnacentral:rRNA from 1 species